GCCAGGUGAGGUGGUGCAUGCCUGUAAUCCCAGUGGCUCAGGAGGCUGAGGCAGGAGGAUCAUGAGUUUAAAACCAGCCUGAGCAAAGGAAGUGCUAAGCAACUCAGUGGGACCCUAUCUCUA
rnacentral:sRNA from 1 species